CUGCUCCUGUCUGGUGGCGCUUGACGGCGCUGCUGCUCCUGUACGGUGGCGCUUGACAGCGCUGCUACUCCUCAGCGCAGCGGAUGGAGCUGCUGCUCCUGGGCGGAUGGUGCCCUACGGGGAGGAAGGUCAGGGUUGGAGUUGAUGUGGCGCGAGGGAACAAGCGGACGGGCGGCGGCGCGGUCGAGUUAGGUUUAGGUCGGAGGCGGCGGCGCACGGGUUCUAUGUGAGUGGUGAGAGAGAGAAGGGUGAGAUUGGGGGUUGGACGGGUGUGUUUUUUCUUUUCUUUUGCUGGUCUGGUCCGACUCGGGUGUUUUCCAUCGCGCGCAUAUCUCUACUACUAUUAAACAAGCAAACAUAUCUUUCCCUCCCUUUUUUUUACUAAUAAAGCAAAUAGUGUUUCUGGUCGUCCGUCAUUAAAAGUGCCCUUGAAGUUGUAAAUAAUUACCCACCAUGCCAUUGGUAAGUGGAAAAAACGGUUCGGUUUACCCUUUUCUAAAAUCCGCGACCUACUCAAGUUAUUAAAGUGAAGCCCCUGUAAUCAACAACUUGCAUGUGUGUGGCGCAGUGGUGUGAGGCUCGCCUGUUUACCUGGGAGACCCAGGUUCGAGUCCCCUUGCUCCCUUUUUCCUCCUUUUAUUUUUCUCUCCUAUUAAUGUUGGUAGGCGUAGGAUAUUACUACUCGCUCCAGCGUCACUUAGCAGAUGGGCAGCACAAUGUACCAGUUACUCUAUUUUUUGGACAUAUUCAUAUAUUUCAAAAAAAAAUCAUAACUUUCAAACCCUAACUCCAAAUCUAACAUGUUAUGUAUAGAAAUCCCUUAAAAAGAUGUGUAGAUUUCAAAUAUGGUAUUAUAUUAAUCACUUUCAAUGUCAAAAAAACUCAUAACUUUCAAACCCUAACUUCAAAUCUAGCAUGUUAUAUAUAGAAAUCCCUUAAAAAGAUGUGUAGAUUUCAAAUAUGGUACUAUAUUAAUCACUUUCAAAUCCUAACGCCAAAUCUAACAUGUUAUAUAUGGAAAUCCCUUUAAAAAGAUGUGUAGAUUUCAAAUAUGCUAUUGUAUUAAUCAUCAUUCCUAAAAUUCCAUUUAUGAUGCAACCUUUAUUAAUAUCUUCUUUAUAUGGGGUAUUUUGAAAAUCCCGGCUUAACGUUGAUAUUUCUGUAGUCUAAUAAAUUGGAAACAUGUUGAAUACAUUUCACAAAUAAUACAACCUUAUGAACUUACACCACUUAUCAUGUUGUUUCUCGUGGGGCAUUGUGAAAGAUUUGAAGGGAUUCGCCGAUGCUCUCAGGUGUGCAUAUGAGGGAUGAUUUUUUUCCGUUGCAACACACUGGAAAUAAUGCCUUUCCAUGGAAUCUGAAGCAUGCAUGGUUAAAAAAGAAAUUCCGAAUCAUACACCUGAUUUCAUGAAAAUUAUUGUGACCUCUUCAAAUAGAAAAUUCGUUUUAGUGUGGUAUGUGCAAAUCUGUUUAUUAUGUUUCCUUCUAUAUAAAAGAAAAUUGAGUUGUACUUUAGACUUUAUAGGUCUCCGUGCAUGUAAGUUUAGAAGAAAUUUGGUAACGAAAAUCAGUAAUGGGCAUCUGGUAACUUACCAAUUAAACCCUAAUUUCUUAUAUAUGUACAUACAUGUACGAUCCUCAUGAUUUAGGCUCUCAAUGAUAAAUCAAAUGAUGAAGGUAAUGACUCAUUAUACUACAAAUUAACUAGGAAGGUAAUUUAGAUAUUUAAAUUAAUCAAUUCUUUCAGGAUUGAAGUGUAGCAUCUCAUACAUGCAUUUUAAGAUCAUUGGUAAAAUAUACAUUACAUGGCUGAUGCAAUAGAAUGUUAUCUUGGGUCAUUGGGCUAGGGAGGUGUGUUUUGAUUCUCCCGGUGCAACGCACGGGCAUAUUUACUAGUUCUUCUCUAAACACAUUCAAAAACACGUACACGAAACAACCAAGAUAAAAUACCACCUCACGAUUCGAUCCAUCUAAUUAGAUCUAACCGUUAAUAACCCUCAUCUGUGUACGUUUAGCAAUUUAGAGAAGCGGACGAAACUCUGCCAUCUAUUCGUCGAGAGGACGAAACGUUCCGCUGCGAGCAAAAAUUUAACUGAUUCGCGUGAUUAAAGGCCUGCAUGCAGCGGCAUGGCCCACGUUCAGCAUUAUGGCGUUCGCAUGCAUUUGUUCGGCCUGCCGAGGCGCAUCUUCAGGAGAGGGGGGAGAAUGAGAGGCCUGGCGGCGGCACAGGGCGUGCUCGCCGGCGAGCGUGCUCCCGCAUCUGCCUGGCGCACGGGGUUGGAUCGGGCGCUAGGGUUGCCCUGCCGCCGCCCAUAGCAGUCAGGGGUUGACGGGGAGAAGCAGUCGGAAGGCGACGGAGGCGGCGGUGGCUCGAUUACAUCUAUGCGACGAUGACGGCUCGGCAGCGGCGAGUGGCCGAUUCAUCUCCUCGCUAGCCCCUCGCCCUUUAAAGGUUAAAGAUCUGGCACCCUCUUCCCCCGGACGCCCAGAACGAGCGGCGGAUCCAGAAAACCAGUUCGUCAAGAUACGCGCAUACACAAGAAGUAGACAUGCAAACAGCUGGAUGGAUUUUUCUUACAGGAGCGCACACACACAUAUGGAAAAGGCAAGCCGCCGGUGAAGACAGCUUCAGCCUCACCACCAAGGACGGAAUCACGGAAAGGUCAGCUUCAUCCGAACCAACCGCGAGGACCAUGCUAAGGUACAUACAUACAUAUACCAAGAUCGAUAUUGACCGAUGCUUGUGGUUGCAAUUUCAUGUCCAUCACUGAUGUAUUGGUGCUCAUGGUGAGAUAUGGGAUAAUAAGUGGAAACUUUUCACCGCUCAGUUCUUACCGAAUGAAUCUUUGUAAGUAAUCUUUUUUCCCUACCCCCUCUUAUAUUUACAGGAAAUUCAAGUGUGGUACACAUAUGAGUAUGCUUUGCUUCCCUCUGUUGUACACAUGUGGUUAUUUGUUAUCUCUGAUUAAGAGAAUCAAGGGCCACUACAUUCUUGAAUAUUGAGACUGUGUUAGUUGGUUUAGGUUAAACUUGAUACAUGCUAUUUACUUUUUCUUCAUCUGACAAUUCAGUUGUACUAUUGAUUUUGACAAUUUUCAGGAAUUUUAAGCCGUCUUUGGAUUUUAGCUUCCUCAAUCAUUCUGAAUUAUUUAAUGUUAGUAUGAGGUACAUGUGUUCCCAAGAUUAAACUUGAGAAAUGUGUAGUUGACCACUUGGGUACGUUUGAUUUCUUUAGUAGAUGCAGCGACAACCACCAUUGUCCAUGAUCUAUACUAAAGAUAAUUAUUAGCAGUGCAACAUCUCUGUUGGUUCAAUCAAAUAGUUCAGCCUGGUCGGUUCUUACUAAUAUUUAAGCCACCUUCAAUUUUUAGCCUGCUCGGUCAUUUUGGAGUAGUUUCAGUUUUGGGUGCAUGUCUUUAAUAGAACAACAAACUUAUUUUAGGUGCUAAAAUAAACACUAAACACCAAUUCCUGAUGGCGACUAUUUUUAGAAAGACCAUCCGGCUGGAGGAGAUCCUUACUAUCGAUGUCAAGCCGGGGUGGAAGAAGGGCACGAAGAUCACCUUCCUAGAUGGAAGGAUCCGGUUUUUUCGGUGCAGUUCUGUGUUUUAAAAAGUUAUUGCGAUGUAAUUUUUUUAUUAACACUACAGUCCAUGAAGUUAUAUUUACGGAUAUUUCAUUUUUCGCAUAAGAUGAAGCACCAUUUUAUUUUUAAAUAUUUUUUGAAGUAAAAUUUGUGAAUAAACGGAAUGAUGUUUCAGAGGAUUUGAAUGGUUGUGACUUGUGGGGUCGCCUGGGGAGGCGACUGCGGCAGGGAGCAGCGGCACAUCGGCGGACAACAACACAUGUGUAGCGUGCAGCGGCAGCGGUUGCACGGCCACGACGGAAGAGCAACAACACGAAUGAGGUGCAGGUGGGGGUAAGAGUAAGUAUCACUUGUCAUGUUUAACUCAUGGCAACAAAGAGUAAGGAUCACUUCACACUCACUACAGGAAAAAUACUGCUGUGACGAUUAUAUACAUAUAUGUUCCACUUGGUCGCUCAGUUAGUAUUAAUUUCCUAUCUAUUCCUUUUUCUUGCAGACACGUUUUGAAACUAGACUUUGAUGGGAAGUUCAUCCGUAUAUGGGAAUUAUACCUUUAUAUGCCUCUGGUUUCACAUCAUGAGCAGUUAGAAAUUACCAUGUAUGGACGCAUGUAUGUGUGCUCUUUGUGUAGGUUUACCUGCAUUAUUCCUAGACAAAUGGAAGUCAUAUACUCCCUCUGUCCUUCGAAAAACAUCUUGCUGGAAAUUGUUUGAUGGUUUCCAAUGCAGACUAAAAUUUGAGCUGAUGUUGCCUUUUGCAAUUAUGUUAAUCUCAGCCGUAAGAUUGAAAGAUCAGCAGACAUUAGAUCUUUGAGUAAAAAGUAGUAACUUGGAACCUUUGGUGAACGGUAGAAAGUGAGCUUUCGUUGUUUGAGAUUGUAAAUAACAUGGGAUGGAGACUUGACCCCCACAUAAUUAUUUUACACUGACCUAUUGAACCAUGAAACAACAUUGCUGAACUUCAACAUUUCGGUAAAACAUCACAUGGAAAAUUGGCUACAACCAACCAGAUUGUUAAAUCCUCAUGUAUUUUAUACUGAACUCAAGAAGUGUGAAUAAGCAAGAAAGCUUUUGAAGAGAUCAGUGUAUCGUCGCAACUGCUACUACGAUUGGCUCCUUUCCAAGCACUGGUAAGAUCUUUCAACAGAUCUUAGCGACAUCUCUCUCUUCUUAAAUUUGCCAGGAUUUUAUGUAGUUGCUUUUCUUCUAAUAAGGUGCAUCCUGCUUGCUGUUGAAUUGUGCAGAAAGGCUACAUUGUAUUAAUUUCUUUUUCGCAUAGUUGAUACAAUUCAACACAUUUUGUAUCAACUGAUAACUUUGAAUCUUUGCGUCUUUCAUCGGAUCGUGCUUUGAAUUUGCACAUGAAUAACUAAAAGCACCAUGACAUUACGCAUUUCCUUCAUUUUAGCCAUUAAACUUACUUAUGUAUCCGGUGUUAAUUUAUCAUUUCUUGUAUAUUCAUCUUAGUUAGGAAGGGUGGCUUCAGUCAUCCUAAAUUUUGUGUGGGUUCUUUUUUCAGCCGUGGCUAGCUUUGCAAAACAAUAAUUAUUAUAAUCCUUGAUCUGCACAUGCCCAAUUUCCUUAUACCGUAUAGUGUCUCAUUCUAGAAUAGUAGCCUUUCUGCUCUGUUAAGAUGUUGAAGCACGGCGACAUUUUUAACUCAUGUUUAAUAUUGACAGAACUAAGCAUUAGGUAGUUGCUUGCAUGCCAUUCAUGUCAUAGAGAAAAUGCUAAAUUUCCUCUCUCCAAUUCCUUAUCAUGAACCUAACGCUUUAUUGAUCUGUUUUUAGCUUCUAGAUGUUCUGAAACUAUAUACACAAUAGAUACUGUUUGUCUGAACUGUAGUUCCACUCCAUGAAAAGCUGAGAUAAACUAAGAAUGGGGUAAAAAAAAUCCGACUCUUCCUGCUCACUGGCGGUGCCCGCUAUGGCAUGGGUGGCUUUACCGCAGCCGCCGAGCCUUCAAAUUCUGAAGAUAACAAGCAGCUCGAAUCCAAGAAGAAAACUAAUUUAGUUCAGCCAACACUCCUAUUUUUUGUGCAUCUUUGUUCCAACUUUGCAUUGACGCCAUGUCCACUUGGACAAUGUUCAUAUGUUACUUUGAUUUUUGCCCAAGAAAAUAAACAUUCUGAAAUCUUUGUAGGAAUAGACUAAAUACGCUACGCCCUUACAUUCUUUGUGGAGAAGUUCUUCAGCCAAUCUAUUGCCAUUGAUUUCUGUCAUCCUAAAGUUUGAAUUCAAAAUUUUAUACCCGCAAAAUUUGAUAUGGUUUGAUUGAGAUGUGCGACGUGCGUUGCACGUACACACUUACUUUUCGAUAGAAACUAGGUAUUAUGACAGUCUAAUGCAUCCAAUGUUCAUAAUGACAUUACAAAUUGUACCAUUAAGCAGCUUAGGAGGACCAUCCUCUGUUCCUGUAACAGAACCGAUGUAAAUUCUUCACUUGCCCCACCACCUACAUAUAAAGAUUGAUUGUUAGUACAUUAUUACUGAAAAAUGCUUCUCUUUGAUAGACGCAUCACUACAUGUGUACAUAAUUAGGACAUACAGAUCACAUCUGUGACUUCAUAGGCCCACACAUAAUCUGAUUUAGCCACAAGGCUUUGAAGCUGGCACCCGUGCAAUAAGAUAUAAAUAAAUGAAAAAUAAAAUAUGCCACUCACAACGGGAAAAGUAAUUACAAUUCUAACAGACUCAUCCCUCUCCUUUGUACUGCCUCUGCCAGGAAAUUGUUACAUGCUACAAAUUUGUGGAUGAAGCACGCACAAGAAAAACAAUAGAUUUACUUACCCAGAGGCCAGCCGAUUCAUGGCUGGAUCUAGUUAGUUACCUACACGUACUAGAAAAGCAUUGACCGAGCUCACCUAGAGCGACCGAAUCUGGAGGUGGGGCAAGGAAGGGGCGACGAGAAAGGACUCACAUACCAGAAGCUUACCUCAGGCCGGGCGGAGGGAGGGAAAUCAGCCGGAACAGAGGCCACAGGUGGAGGAAAACCAGCGUUGGAUCCUCGGCGGCCGACGGCCUUGCUUCUCCUUACUGGUGGACGGUUCUGCUGCUCCUGUCUGGUGGCGCUUGACGGCGCUGCUGCUCCUGUACGGUGGCGCUUGACAGCGCUGCUACUCCUUAGCGUAGCGGAUGGAGCUGCUGCUCCUGGGCGGAUGGUGCCCUGCGGGGAGGAAGGUCAGGGUUGGAGUUGAUGUGGCGCGAGGGAACAAGCGGACGGGCGGCGGCGCGGUCGAGUUAGGUUUAGGUCGGAGGCGGCGGCGCACGGGUUCUAUGUGAGUGGUGAGAGAGAGAAGGGUGAGAUUGGGGGUUGGACGGGUGUGUUUUUUCUUUUCUUUUGCUGGUCUGGUCCGACUCGGGUGUUUUCCAUCGCGCGCAUAUCUCUACUACUAUUAAACAAGCAAACAUAUCUUU
rnacentral:lncRNA from 1 species